rnacentral:pre_miRNA from 1 species
GAGACACCUUUAUGGGGCAGGACUUGCUUCAGUGGGGCUUUGGUGCUCACUGAGUCUGCUCCUUGAGUGUGUCGCU